rnacentral:rRNA from 1 species
UACGGAGGGUGCAAGCGUUAUCCGGAUUCACUGGGUUUAAAGGGUGCGUAGGUGGAUUAGUAAGUCAGUGGUGAAAUCUCCGGGCUUAACCCGGAAACUGCCAUUGAUACUAUUAGUCUUGAAUACCGUGGAGGUCAGCGGAAUAUGUCAUGUAGCGGUGAAAUGCUUAGAUAUGACAUAGAACACCAAUUGCGAAGGCAGCUGGCUACACGAGCAUUGACACUCAGGCACGAAAGCGUGGGA